AACUAUGUUAUUGUCCAGCUUUAUGCAAGAAUUUGGUCCUAUCUCGUCACGUGUGCAUUGUAUUUUCGCUCAAAUAACCAAUAACAAGUUUGUCGUUGAGUUAUCCAUCCGUAACGUGAACAAAUGCUCAAUUUAAACAUUGCUAUUGGUUGUGCGGGGAAAAAUACAAUACACACGUGACGAGAUAGGCCCAAAUUCUUGCAUAAACCGAAACCAACAUAGUUAAUGAGUUAUAUUGUACUUUCAUCGAGUCUCCAAACCAUGUAUUCUAUUAACUGUGUUCAGGGAUGGAUCCAGCAUGGUCUGGUAGGGGGGUGCUCCGCCAAAAAAAUUUUCGGAAAGCAACAACAUCCCCCCCCCCAUCGACAACUUUUUAGGGAAAAAAAAAAUUUCCGGACGAGUACGUUGCAAUUGCUUUCCAGUGACUUUACACAUCCA